AAGUCGUAACAAGGUAUCCGUUGGUGAACCAGCGGAUGGAUCAUUACCUGAAGCGAGAUACGCCAAUGAGGGGUGUGGCUGCCGCAGUUGGUUAGCCUCUGGGAUGGCUGGUGAAUCAGCCUGCCAGUGCUCGUGGUGUGGGAGACGACUGAAGUUGGUGUUCGAGGCCAGCGAGAGUCGCACGCUUGACGAGUGGAGGGGUUGUUGGAAGGGACUUCCUUCCUCGAAGUCCAGGCGAGAUGCCUCCUCAAUCCCUAGGACUGCCAUUGACCUCACCAAAGCGAUUGUCUGUAAAGAGGACAACUGCUGGCCGUGGAUCACUUGGCUGACG
rnacentral:misc_RNA from 1 species